rnacentral:rRNA from 1 species
GGGUGAGUAACGCGUAUCCAACCUGCCCAUCACUUGGGGAUAACCUUGCGAAAGUAAGACUAAUACCCAAUGACGUCUCUAGAAGACAUCUGAAAGAGAUUAAAGAUUUAUCGGUGAUGGAUGGGGAUGCGUCUGAUUAGCUUGUUGGCGGGGUAACGGCCCACCAAGGCGACGAUCAGUAGGGGUUCUGAGAGGAAGGUCCCCCACAUUGGAACUGAGACACGGUCCAAACUCCUACGGGAGGCAGCAGUGAGGAAUAUUGGUCAAUGGACGAGAGUCUGAACCAGCCAAGUAGCGUGCAGGAUGACGGCCCUAUGGGUUGUAAACUGCUUUUAUAAGGGAAUAAAGUUAGUCUCGUGAGACUUUUUGCAUGCACCUUAUGAAUAAGGACCGGCUAAUUCCGUGCCAGCAGCCGCGGUAAUACGGAAGGUCCGGGCGUUAUCCGGAUUUAUUGGGUUUAAAGGGAGCGUAGGCCGGAGAUUAAGCGUGUUGUGAAAUGUAGACGCUCAACGUCUGCACUGCAGCGCGAACUGGUUUCCUUGAGUACGCACAAAGUGGGCGGAAUUCGUGGUGUAGCGGUGAAAUGCUUAGAUAUCACGAAGAACUCCGAUUGCGAAGGCAGCUCACUGGAG